GUUUUGAGAUGUAUUUAGAUAUAACGCUAUGGAUUUGUCACUAUUUAUCUUAUGGUUAGAGCAGUUACUAUACAUUUUAAUAAUUUCUACCACAUGGUGAAUGGAAUCUUCAGGUUUCUGGAUAGUUAUCAAUACAUCAUCAGCAUAUAGCUUGAUUUUUUGAUCAUUAUUUUCUCCAAACCCUUUUAUAUCUUGCUUAGAUCGUGUGUCUUUUGCUAGAGGUUCAAUCGAUAGUAUAUAUAGUAAUGGUGAUAAAGGACAACCCUGUCGGGUACCGUUUGAAAUUCCGAACCAUUUGGACUUAAUGCCAGAGCCUGUAAUUCUGCCUUGGGGACCAUUGUAUAGGGCCAUUAUGGCACUAAGUAUCUCACCAGAAAAUCCAAAGGAUAAUAAGGAUUCUCUGAUAAAAGCCCAGCCGACCAUGUCAAAUGCCUUUUCUGCAUCCAACGACAGGGUCAGCAUGGGUGUACAAUCCUCUCUGGCCUGUUCCAAUAUCCCAAUCAAGUUUCUUAUGUGAUUACUAGAGAAUCGUCCUGGGAUGAAUCCCACCUGGUCUCUAUGUAUUAUGUGGCUAACUACUCGCUUAACUCCAUCUGCCAAUAUUCCCAUGUAUAACUUAAUAUCUUCAUUUAACAGAGAGAUCGACCGGUAACUGUCUACUUUUU